UUUGCUUUAGUGGCGAACGGGUGAGUAACGCGUGAGGAACCUGCCUUUCAGUGGGGGACAACAGUUGGAAACGACUGCUAAUACCGCAUAAAACUUUUGGGUGGCAUCGCUUAAAAGUCAAAGAUUUAUUGCUGAAAGAUGGCCUCGCGUCUGAUUAGCUAGUUGGUGGGGUAACGGCCCACCAAGGCGACGAUCAGUAGCCGGUCUGAGAGGAUGAACGGCCACAUUGGGACUGAGAUACGGCCCAGACUCCUACGGGAGGCAGCAGUGGGGAAUAUUGGGCAAUGGGGGAAACCCUGACCCAGCAACGCCGCGUGAAGGAAGAAGGCCUUCGGGUUGUAAACUUCUUUUACCAGGGGCGAAAAAGAUGACGGUACCUGGAGAAAAAGCAACGGCUAACUACGUGCCAGCAGCCGCGGUAAUACGUAGGUUGCAAGCGUUGUCCGGAUUUACUGGGUGUAAAGGGCGUGUAGGCGGAGAUGCAAGUUGGGAGUGAAAUCCCGGGGCUCAACCCCGGAACUGCUCUCAAAACUGUAUCCCUUGAGUAUCGGAGAGGCAAGCGGAAUUCCUAGUGUAGCGGUGAAAUGCGUAGAUAUUAGGAGGAACACCAGUGGCGAAGGCGGCCUGCUGGACGACAACUGACGCUGAGGCGCGAAAGCGUGGGGAGCAAACAGGAUUAGAUACCCUGGUAGUCCACGCUGUAAACGAUGAAUACUAGGUGUGGGAGGACUGACCCCUUCCGUGCCGCAGUUAACACAAUAAGUAUUCCACCUGGGGAGUACGACCGCAAGGUUGAAACUCAAAGGAAUUGACGGGGGCCCGCACAAGCAGCGGAGCAUGUGGUUUAAUUCGAAGCAACGCGAAGAACCUUACCUAGACUUGACAUGUCCUGAAUUACCAGUAAUGUGGGAAGUUCCUUCGGGAACAGGAACACAGGUGGUGCAUGGUUGUCGUCAGCUCGUGUCGUGAGAUGUUGGGUUAAGUCCCGCAACGAGCGCAACCCUUAUUGUUAGUUGGUACCAUUAAGUUGACCACUCUAGCGAGACUGCCCGGGUUAACCGGGAGGAAGGUGGGGAUGACGUCAAAUCAUCAUGCCCCUUAUGUCUAGGGCUACACACGUGCUACAAUGGCAAGUACAAAGAGAAGCAAUACUGUGAAGUGGAGCAAAACUCAAAAACUUGUCUCAGUUCGAAUUGUAGGCUGAAACUCGCCUACAUGAAGCUGGAGUUGCUAGUAAUCGCGAAUCAGAAUGUCGCGGUGAAUACGUUCCCGGGUCU
rnacentral:rRNA from 1 species